GACGAACGCUGGCGGCAUGCCUAACACAUGCAAGUCGAACGAGACCUUCGGGUCUAGUGGCGCACGGGUGCGUAACGCGUGGGAACCUGCCCUUAGGUUCGGAAUAACUCCCCGAAAGGGGUGCUAAUACCGGUUAAUCUCUUCGGACCAAAGAUUUAUCGCCUUUGGAUGGGCCCGCGUUGGAUUAGCUGGUUGGUAGGGUAAAAGCCUACCAAGGGGACGAUCCAUAGCUGGUGUGAUAGGAUGACCAGCCACACUGGGACUGAGACACGGCCCAGACUCCUACGGGAGGGAGCAGUGGGGAAUAUUGGACAAUGGGCGAAAGCCUGAUCCAGCAAUGCCGCGUGAGUGAUGAAGGCCUUAGUGUUGUAAAGCUCUUUUACCCGGGAUGAUAAUGACAGUACCGGGAGAAUAAGCACCGGCUAACUCCGUG
rnacentral:rRNA from 1 species